rnacentral:lncRNA from 1 species
UCCCCGGAUUCCACAAUCUUGACUUAAUCUUUCUAUAGAGGAUGAUUCCCAUAAAGAUUACUCUGUUCUUCUUUUAAUAUCUAGUUGCCAAAUGGGUUUGACCAGCAUCUUUAAUUAAGUAUGGAAUGUAAAUACAUUUGAAUGUUACUUCACCAAACGCAUUAAGGACCAGGAAGGCUGGAUGUUGUCAGCGCUCCCCGGAGACCAGCCAUGGGGCAGUUCCCACCCUCACCAACCACCCACGGACAGGACAGCAAGUAUGACAUCUAAGGCCAGGACCAAGGCAGAUACAGAUGAGGACAUGGGAAAGUGUCACCACAGUCGCCAUGGUGCCUGAGAGCCAAUGGAGCCUUGUCAGAG